UGGGAAUGAUCUCCUCUAGGUGUGGCU
rnacentral:piRNA from 1 species